rnacentral:rRNA from 2 species
AUGAGAGUUUGAUCCUGGCUCAGGAUGAACGCUGGCGGCGUGCCUAAUACAUGCAAGUCGAACGAGUUCUCGUUGAUGAUCGGUGCUUGCACCGAGAUUCAACAUGGAACGAGUGGCGGACGGGUGAGUAACACGUGGGUAACCUGCCCUUAAGUGGGGGAUAACAUUUGGAAACAGAUGCUAAUACCGCAUAGAUCCAAGAACCGCAUGGUUCUUGGCUGAAAGAUGGCGUAAGCUAUCGCUUUUGGAUGGACCCGCGGCGUAUUAGCUAGUUGGUGAGGUAAUGGCUCACCAAGGCGAUGAUACGUAGCCGAACUGAGAG